rnacentral:rRNA from 1 species
GAAAGUUGAAAAGUACUUUGAAGAGAGAGUUCAAGAGGACGUGAAACCGGUAGGAUGGAAACGGAUAGAGCCAACGAACUAGCUCGUAUUCAGCUAGUCGGCUGCGUGCAGUCUUUCUAGGCGCUUGAUAAGGUGUCUGGGAGGAUGUGGUAUGCGGUCGGCUAGUGCAUUUGCGAGUAAUGUGCGCCGAGGCGGGUGGCAUUCGUUCGGCAAACUGUCGGGAGAGGCUUCGUCUUUACGGACUUAGAACCUACCGGCAGGGAGUCGAGUCGGAGCUGCACGUAGCACAAUGAGUUAGGUACAGACGCGCUGCUGCUAUAUCGGGCUAGUCCUAUGGUCGGUCGCAUGCGACUUGGCUAUUGUGGCUGGUCUUGGUGUGGUAGUAGUGCCCUGACUCGUCCUCGGUGUAAAAGUUGGUCAUCUCUCCGACCCGUCUUGAAACACGGACCAAGGAGUCUAGCGUAUACGCGAGUCAUUGAGUGUAGAAAACUCAUAGGCGAAAUGAAAGUGAAGGUCUUCGUUCGGAGGCUUAUAUGUGAUCCGUUGCGUUUCGGCGCAGCGGAGCAGCAUAGCCCAAUCUCGACUGCUUGCAGUGGGGUUGCGGAAGAGCGUACGCGCUGGUACCCGAAAGAUGGUGAACUAUGCCUGAGCAGGAUGAAGCCAGAGGAAACUCUGGUGGAGGUCCGAAGCGCUUCUGACGUGCAAAUCGAUC